rnacentral:misc_RNA from 1 species
GAAAUGCGAUAAGUAAUGUGAAUUGCAGAAUUCAGUGAAUCAUCGAAUCUUUGAACGCACAUUGCGCCCGCCAGUAUUCUGGCGGGCAUGCCUGUUCGAGCGUCAUUUCAACCAUCAAGCCCCCGGCUUGUGUUGGGGACCUGCGGCUGCCCGCAGGCACUGAAAAACAGUGGCGGGCUCGCUGUCACACCGAGCGUAGUAGCAUACAUUCUCGCUCAGGGCGUGCUGCGGGUUCCGGCCGUUAAACGACCUUCAUAACCCAAGGUUGACCUCGGAUCAGGUAGGAAGACCCGCUGAACUUAAGC